GAUGAACGCUGGCGGCGUGCCUAACACAUGCAAGUCGAGCGAGAAGUUUGAAAAAUGAGUUUUCGAACAAGUGAUUCAAACGGAAAGCGGCGGACGGGUGAGUAACGCGUAGGCAACCUGCCCCGUGCAGAGGGACAGCCUCGGGAAACCGGGAUUAAGACCUCAUGAUAUCGGGUUAUCACAUGGUAAUCCGGUCAAAGAUUUAUCGGCAUGGGAUGGGCCUGCGUCUGAUUAGCUGGUUGGUGGGGUAACGGCCUACCAAGGCGACGAUCAGUAGCAAAACGGAGAGGUUCAUCUGCCACAUUGGAACUGGGACACGGUCCAAACUCCUACGGGAGGCAGCAGUGAGGAAUAUUGCACAAUGGGCGAAAGCCUGAUGCAGCAACGCCGCGUGAGCGAGGAAGGCCUUUGGGUCGUAAAGCUCUGUCCUUGGGGAAGAAACAAAUGACGGUACCCUUGGAGGAAGCCCCGGCUAACUACGUGCCAGCCGCCGCGGUAA
rnacentral:rRNA from 1 species